AUUGAACGCUAGCGGGAUGCCUUACACAUGCAAGUCGAACGGAGUGGCGAACGGGUGAGUAAUGUAUCGGAAUGUGCCCAGUAGCGGGGGAUAACUACGCGAAAGCGUAGCUAAUACCGCAUACUAUUGGAGCGGCCGAGAUCGGAUUAGCUGGUUGGUGGGGGAAAGGCCAACCAAGGCGACGAUCCGUAGCUGGUUUGAGGGGACGAUCAGCCACACUGGGAUGGAUACACGGCCCAGACUCCUACGGGAGGCAGCAGGGGGGAAUUUUGGACAAUGGGGGAAACCCUGAUCCAGCCAUGCCGCGGGGGCGAAGAAGGCCUUCGGGUUGUAAAGCACUUUUGGCAGGAAAGCGGUACCUGCAGAAUAAGCACCGGCUAACUACGUGCCAGCAGCCGCGGUAAUAC
rnacentral:rRNA from 1 species